rnacentral:rRNA from 1 species
CAGUAGCCGCGGUAAUACGGAGGGAGCUAGCGUUAUUCGGAAUUACUGGGCGUAAAGCGCACGUAGGCGGCUUUGUAAGUAAGAGGUGAAAGCCUGGUGCUCAACACCAGAACUGCCUUUUAGACUGCAUCGCUUGAAUCCAGGAGAGGUGAGUGGAAUUCCGAGUGUAGAGGUGAAAUUCGUAGAUAUUCGGAAGAACACCAGUGGCGAAGGCGGCUCACUGGACUGGUAUUGACGCUGAGGUGCGAAAGCGUGGGGAGCAAACAGGAUUAGAUACCCCGGUAGUCCCUGUCUCUUAUAC